rnacentral:rRNA from 1 species
ACAAUAGACUACCCAGGUAGUCCACGCCCUAAACGAUGCGAACUGGAUGUUGGGUACAUUACGGUACUCAGUGUCGAAGCUAACGCGUUAAGUUCGCCGCCUGGGGAGUACGGUCGCAAGACUGAAACUCAAAGGAAUUGACGGGGGCCCGCACAAGCGGUGGAGUAUGUGGUUUAAUUCGAUGCAACGCGAAGAACCUUACCUGGCCUUGACAUCUGUCGAAUCCUGCAGAGAUGCGGGAGUGCCGCAAGGAACGACAAGACAGGUGCUGCAUGGCUGUCGUCAGCUCGUGUCGUGAGAUGUUGGGUUAAGUCCCGCAACGAGCGCAACCCUUGUCCCUAGUUGCCAGCACGUAAUGGUGGGAACUCUAGGGAGACUGCCGGUGACAAACCGGAGGAAGGUGGGGAUGACGUCAAGUCCUCAUGGCCCUUACGGCCAGGGCUACACACGUACUACAAUGGUCGGUACAGAGGGUUGCGAAGCCGCGAGGUGGAGCCAAUCCCAGAAAACCGAUCCCAGUCCGGAUCGGAGU